GCAUAUCAUAAGCGGAGGAAAAGAAAAUAACAAUGAUUCCCCCAGUAACGGCGAGUGAACAGGGAAAAGCUCAAAGUUGGAAGCUCCUGGCCCUAGGCUAGGCGCAUUGUAAACUAAAGCUGUAAAGUAGUUCGGUUGGCCUGGUAAAAAAGUUCCCUGGAAUGGGGCGACAUGGAGGGUGAAAUCCCCGUCUUUGGCCAGAGUUCAGCCGUGCGUUUGCUUUGCUGCGAAGAGUCAGGUUGUUUGGGAAUGCAGCCUAAAAUGGGAGGUAGACUUCUCCUAAAGCUAAAUAUUGACGAAAGACCGAUAGCGAACAAGUACCGUGAGGGAAAGAUGAAAAGCACUUUGAAAAGAGGGUCAAAAAGUACGUGAAAUUGCUGAAAGGGAACCGUAUGAAAUCAGCCUGAUGUGUGGGUAAUCAGCCUGGGCUUUGGCCUGGGUGCACUUGCCCAUGUAUUAGCCUGCGACAGUUUGACCUGGGGGAAAAAAGAUGGGGGAAUGUGGCCUCGGCUUCGGUCGAGGUGUUAUAGCCCCUGUCAAAAUACCUUGGGUUGGACUGAGGACUGCAGCGAGCCGUAAGGCAUGGGUCUCGGGCGCUCUGUCUCGGCGAAAAGUGAAUCUCUGCUUCGGGUGGUGCGCUUUUCUUCAGGGCAGACUCGCCUGUUUCUUCUUUCUCUCGCUUAGGUCGUAGGCAUAAUGAUUUUAUAUGACCCGUCUUGAAACACGGACCAAGGAGUCCACCAUAGUUGCGAGUCUUUGAGUGUAAAAACCCAUGGGCGUAAGGAAACUGACCAAGAUAUGAAGGCCUCUGGCUGGCAAUAUCCUCCGGCGAGGACGUUUUAUACUGAAUUGACCGAGAGAAAGCACCUAUGAUGGGACCCGAAAGAUGGUGAACUAUACUUGAAUAGGGUGAAGCCAGAGGAAACUCUGGUGGAAGCUCGUAGCGAUUCUGACGUGCAAAUCGAUCGUCAAAUUUGAGUAUAGGGGCGAAAGACUAAUCGAACCAUCUAGUAGCUGGUUCUGC
rnacentral:rRNA from 1 species